rnacentral:rRNA from 1 species
UGGAAACGACUGCUAAUACCGCAUAAGCCCACGACCCGGCAUCGGGUAGAGGGAAAAGGAGCAAUCCGCUUUGAGAUGGCCUCGCGUCCGAUUAGCUAGUUGGUGAGGUAACGGCCCACCAAGGCGACGAUCGGUAGCCGGACUGAGAGGUUGAACGGCCACAUUGGGACUGAGACACGGCCCAGACUCCUACGGGAGGCAGCAGUGGGGAAUAUUGCACAAUGGGGGAAACCCUGAUGCAGCGACGCCGCGUGGAGGAAGAAGGUCUUCGGAUUGUAAACUCCUGUUGUUGAGGAAGAUAAUGACGGUACUCAACAAGGAAGUGACGGCUAACUACGUGCCAGCAGCCGCGGUAAAACGUAGGUCACAAGCGUUGUCCGGAAUUACUGGGUGUAAAGGGAGCGCAGGCGGGAAGACAAGUUGGAAGUGAAAUCCAUGGGCUCAACCCAUGAACUGCUUUCAAAACUGUUUUUCUUGAGUAGUGCAGAGGUAGGCGGAAU